GUGAUGGCGCAAACAAUCACGAAGACGGAAGAAUAAUUCAGUUUAUUACAAAAGACUGAAGAUAUAACUACCGCCAUCCUUUAAUUUAUUUAUUUCUACGUUGAGGACACUUUAUAAUCCUACAGAGAUACCUGACUAACGAACAACCUUCACAACGGGACGGAGCUAAUUAACGUUAAUGUUACUUUGAAAUUCAAACAGUAACGGUCAUCUGACUACUGGUGCUGAGCCAAAGGUAAGCAUAAAUGUGCUUUUAUUCGUCGUUUUAUUAAUCUAAUGUUAAAUUUCAAUUCAGAUUAAUAUUUAAAAUUAUUUAUUUGGAUUAGAAAGAUUAUAUAUUUUCAAAUUCCUCUUUUUAUAAUUGGACAUUAUCCCUGUUGGUUUAUUUUAGGUGGUUCAAUUUACAGUCUGAGGACGGGAACAUCAACAAAAAAAGUUUAACUUCUGAUUCAUAAUCUACACACUCUACUGGUAACGUUAACACUACUGACACCUAGUGGGCAGUUGGUGAAGACAGAUGUUGUGACGAUAGGACAGUUCCUCCUCACCAGUCUCUGCUGUAUAUGGAUGCCUGUCCACUAGCACAAGACAUUUACAACAUUUUGGAGCCAGGGACCCCUUGCAGAUAAGAUUUUUCAAGGACACCCUCAGAAUUACAAGAUUUUAAGGUUUAAAAUUAUUGUGGGUUGGAAUAUAAUGAACAUAAUAUGAUUUUUUUAUUUAUUCAUUUAGUUUUUUUAAAUGAUCCCCAAU